UACAGAGGGGGCAAGCGUUAUUCGGAAUUAUUGGGCGUAAAGGGCGCGUAGGCGGUGAUUUAAGUUGGAUGUGUAAUCCCCGGGCUCAACCUGGGAACUGCAUCCAAGACUGGAUUGCUGGAGUGCUGGAGAGGGUGGUGGAAUUCCUCGUGUAGCGGUGAAAUGCGUAGAGAUGAGGAGGAACACCAGUGGCGAAGGCGGCCACCUGGACAGUAACUGACGCUGAGGCGCGAAAGUGUGGGUAG
rnacentral:rRNA from 1 species